rnacentral:rRNA from 1 species
ACAUGCCUACAACAUAGCAUUAAUGCAUUGGAUCCUAUUUGAACUCCGAAGUUAAGAACGCUCAUGCUAGAGUAGUACUGGGAUGGGUGACUUCCUAGGAAGUACUAGUGUUUUACAUGCC